AAAAAGACUAAUAAAAAGUAAUGAAAAACGUAACUUCCAAUAUUAUUCUAGUUCUAGAUUUCAUUUUCUAAAAUAACUGUUCUGUAUACUAACAAAAUACCCAACAGUAGAAUAGUAUUAAUGCAACUCUUGCUAAAAUGAAAAUCUGCAAAGCCGAAUCUAUAUCAAUAUCCUGACCAGUUAAGCUGCUGCUACUUUUUCUUUGCAAUAUCGGUGUAAGUGUUUCUACAUAUUACAAUGAUUAAGAUUUUUUACUUGUAGAGAGUAAUGUCAAAAAGCCUGAGUUGCAUGCCUACAACUCUAUAGACGUUGCAUGAUCUUGAAUGAACCCGCUCGGGUUUUUCCACUCGUUGCUGAUUUGCGGUGUCUUCCCGCAGGCCCAGACCAGAUAUGGGUCAGUGAAGGAGGCUGGCUUACUGGGAAGACGAGCGUGGCUCACUGCAGGGAAGAGGCACUGUUUAUCUCAGCAGCAUUACAGGACAUUUCCGGAGCUUCGCCUUGGGGUCCACGGUGAAGACGGACCCAGUGCAGAGCACCACUCCUGGGGAAUGCCUGGAAGGAUAACAGGAUGCCCAGAGGAUCUGGGAGCAGACCUAUGGGGAAAAAGAACCAAGCUGAUUCUAGUAACAGCCUAGCCAAGCUAUGAGGCAUCUUAUCAAGAUCUGGAACAGCACAGGGGGAUGGACUUGAGCCUCUUAAAUGAGCUAGUACACCUUGUGGGAAAUUACACCAACAGGCUAUCCUGAUAUUACUAGGGAACACUCUGAGCCAGGGCAGCCUACAGUAGGCAGUGAAUGCAUUUUUGCAUUUGCCCCCGCAUGGGAAUCAAACCCACAACACUCGCAUUGCAAGUGCCAUGGUCUGCCAACUGAGCCACACAGAACAUAAAUGACUCUACAUUUGAGUGAAUGGUUGUUUGAAACCGUAUUUCCCGUUUACUGUUAUAGCACUUUCAAUACUGAGCGCAAAUGUAAUAGUUUUCUCUAGAAACUACCGUCUCUAGUAAAAGGAACUUUGUAAAUCUAUGAAAAUAUAUACGCCAUGAAUAUGACCACCCAAGCUGCAACCAGCUGUGAAAUUGGUUUCAAUUUCCCUUCAAUUACUUAUCUUUUCUUUGGGUUGACUGCAUUUUUACUUAUUGCAAGGCGAGCUGUAUUUUGCACCUCACAGACACUAAGUCUAGAGAAGGUUCAAUGGACUCCUUUAACAGACCCAGCCCCUGUCCACAUCUGUUCCUUUGUCUCCAUGGUAAAUUACCAUGGUAAAUUUGUCUCUGUGCUUGUGAACCCAAGGCGCCCCCGAGAGUGAGUCUGUUUCGUGCGAUGCGUUCGCUGCCUGACAUGUUGUUCACACACUGGAUAUCACCCUGACACGCACGUACACGUGCACACGCCCGGGCAUUUAACACCCCGCGUUGCCCUCAGGACAUGAGAUGCUAAUGUGAAACGCAUUUGCAUGUACUUUCCACCUAAAUAUGCAAAGCUUUUGGAACGAACAUUGGCUUUCUCACCUCACUUCGUCGUCCAAGUAUGGUAAUGCCUGCUGAGAUCUGGCCGUGAGGGAGAAGUGUCUAAGAGAUGCGGCAAGAUGGCCAGCAUUAUCUCCGUUGCCUUGGCGGCUGACUCCUGGUGUGUGUGUGUGUGUGUGUGGGAUUUUCAUGUGUGUGUCAAUACAGUGACACUGCAUUACUGAAUUAAACCAAAGAACCAUUCAGUCACACUGUCCCCCUCUGUGUAGCUAAAUCGGCAUCAGUCAAUUCUGGGUCCUAAACGGAUCACUGUUCUUUUUUUAUAGUGCACUAUUUUGACUAGGGCCCCUUAAGGAGGAGAGUACCAGUUGGGACAUAGCCCCCCUCUGCACCUCCAUUUAACAAUCUGAAGAUUGGAGGUUUAGCAGACACGUCGGACGAUCACAGAAAUGGAUGCAUAACGGAAUGAAAACGUCCCCCAAUGUUGAUGGCUUUCCAGCAAUGUUUUGUUUUUCCCAUCAGCAAGGUUGCCCAGUUGAUUUCAUUUGGGCAUUUUAUCUGGGUUGAAUUGGCUCGUCUGAGUCAUUGGGUGGUUGAAAUGGUUCUGAUGUAAAAUGAAAAUGCAAAACGGAAUGGUACGCGUUGCCUCGCCAACCAUGUUGACAGACUGUGAAUUACCUUGUCAGAUUUUAUGUUUUUGCGUUCUUAUAAAGACUAUAUUCCACCAAACUAUAUUCAAUAAAAGUGACUGUUUUCAAGUUACAGAUGUGCCUCUGUGGUUUCUUUUUUUUUUGCUUAGAUUUUACCCCACCCCAGCCUCAAUCUCCGUCCAGGGGUGGGGGAGAACGGAGGCAAGGGUUUUGUUUAGUAGGGGUGGAAGACCGGUGUGUGAAUGGUUUAAAGUCAGGGAAUUAGCCCCACCCCUUCAGAUGGAGGUGGAGAUGUUAACGUGCGCGUGUGUUUGUGUGUGUGCUGAGGUGUGGCAGACAGCUGGCAGCGUGGGUGGGCG
ensembl:lncRNA